rnacentral:rRNA from 1 species
CCUACGGGAGGCAGCAGUGAGGAAUAUUGGUCAAUGGACGAGAGUCUGAACCAGCCAAGUCGCGUGAAGGAUGACUGCCCUAUGGGUUGUAAACUUCUUUUAUAAAGGAAUAAAACGAGGCACGUGUGCCUUUUUGCAUGGACUCCUGAAUAAGGAUCGGCUAACUCCGUGCCAGCAGCCGCGGGAAUACGGAGGAUCCGAGAGUUAUCCGGAUUUAUUGGGUUUAAAGGGAGCGUAGAUGGGUUGUAACGUAAGUUGUGAAAGUUUGCGGGUGAACCGUCAUAUUGCAAUUGAUACUGGGAGUCUGGAGUACAGUUGAGGUAGGCGGAAUUCGUGGUGUAGCGGUGAAAUGCUUAGAUAUCACGAAGAACCCCGAUUGCGAAGGCAGCUUACUAAACUGUGACUGACAUUGAUGCUCGAAAGUGUGGGUAUCAAACAGGAUUAGAUACCCGUGUAGUC